AAUGAACGCUGGCGGCAUGCCUAACACAUGCAAGUCGAACGAGACCUUCGGGUCUAGUGGCGCACGGGUGCGUAACGCGUGGGAAUCUGCCCUUGGGUUCGGAAUAACAGUUAGAAAUGACUGCUAAUACCGAAUGAUGUCGUAAGACCAAAGAUUUAUCGCCCAGGGAUGAGCCCGCGUAAGAUUAGGUAGUUGGUGUGGGUAAAGGCGCACCAAGCCGAGAUUCUUUAGCUGGCUGAGAGGAUGAUCAGCCACACUGGGACUGAGACACGGCCCAGACU
rnacentral:rRNA from 1 species